rnacentral:tRNA from 1 species
GGCACUGAAAAUGCCUAGAUGAGUAUUCUUACUCCAUAAA